rnacentral:lncRNA from 1 species
AUGUAGAAAGUAAUUAAGAGUACUUAAGACAAUUGAGAUAAACUUCAAUUUAGUAAUAAUAUAAUAUAGCUUCUCAUAUAUUAAUAAACACUCCCAUUUCUCUCGCAUCCGGAUGAGCUACAAGUUAAGCGUUAAACUCUAAUAGCAAAUUGUUGCAAAUUUGGAAUGAUAAACACUCCAAUUUCUCUCGCAUCCGGAUGAGCUACAAGUUAAGCUUUGAACUUUGAUAGGAAAUUGUUGCAAGUUUGGAACUUCAUAACCAAAUUGCAUCCACCUUUCAACUAUAGAAGUAUUAUUUUGGACGUUAAUAACUUGAAAGUUAAAGCUCUAAAGAGUAAAACAAUUGAAACAGUUGCUUACCUGGUGCCAAUUUGGUUCUGCCACUAAUGGCCGAAGCUAAUCCAAGAAUUCCGUCGGCUU